UUCCUGGUGGCUCAGAUGGUAAAGAAUCUGCCUGCAAUGCAGGAGACCUGGGUUCGAUCCCUGGAUUGGAAU
rnacentral:tRNA from 1 species